UUAGGAUUUAGGAUUUGAUUAAGGUUUGAUUUAGGAUUAGACUUUGAUUAGGAGUUGAUUUAGGAUUUAGAAUUUGAUUAGGAGUUGAGUUAGAGUUUAGGAUUUACUUAGUGUUUGAUUUAGGAUUAGGAUUUAGGAUUUGAUUAGGAUUUGAUUUAGAGUUUAGGAUUUUAUUAGGAUUUAUUUAUGAUUUUUUUAAGAUUUAAGAUUUAGUUAGUUUUUGGCCUAAAUUUUGAUUGAAGUCCAAUAGGAUUUUAACUAGGAUUAAAUUAAGAUUAGAUUGAGAUUUAUUUGAGAUAUAUUUGUGAACAUUCUAAUAUUUUUUUAAGAUUUCAUAUUUUUUCUUUGUAAUUCUUUUAAGGUUUCUUUGAAUUUGAUUAAAGCUUACUUAGUAUUAAUGGUAUUCUAUUAGAGUUAAGAUUUUAUUAUUGCAAUUUCUAUUCUACCUUGCAAAGCCAAGUAUCUAGAGUAAUCUUAAGCAAGACUUCACAUAUUACAACAAUGGUUGAUCCUUGGAUAUCAAUCUAAUUUAUUCUUGGAAUUUUUUUAUCCAAUCCUAUUUUUAACUUAAUCUUAGUAUCAACCAUGCUAAUUAUUUACUUCUUUUAAUCUGAUUUUA
rnacentral:lncRNA from 1 species